UUUAUUUCAGUUCAGCUUUACCCAGGACAGUGCUGGAGCCCGGUCACCCAAGAGAGCAGAUCCGUGUGUGGCUCUUCUGAAUCCUAGGAUUGUUAAAUAUUUACCAGCUCACAGCUGGCUACACUGGCUUGUUUCAUUGUGUGUAGAGGCAAGCAUUGUUAUCUAUGAAGAUCGCUUCAGCAUAGGAGAGGGGCCUGGGCCCACAGGCUACAGAAGCACGGUGAAAGGAAAUGAGCGCACUGAGCUGAGCACACCAGUACAGUGGAGUGCAGGACUGUGCCUAAGCAGGUCUGUUCAUUAGCAGCUGUAUGGUGGAUCCAGACACUCUCUGAGGUUUGCCAAAUGGACAAAGAGACCAAAGGUUCCCCAAAAUUCAAUCAGAAAGGGCCUCCUUGGAAGGAAUAAAGACUGGGAAGGAUGUU